GGGGCUGUGGUUCAGUAGUAGAACAUCUGCUUGGCAAACACAAGGGUCCAGGUUCAAUCGCGGGCAGCUCCA
rnacentral:tRNA from 1 species